AAUGAACGCUGGCGGCAGGCCUAAACAUGCAAGUCGAACGCUGUAGCAAUACAGAGUGGCGCACGGGUGAGUAACAUGUGGGAAUAUGCCUAUUGGUACGGAACAACGUUUGGAAACGAACGCUAAUACCGUAUGGUCCCUUCGGGGUAAAGAUUUAUCGCCAAUAGAUUAGCCCGCACUAGAUUAGCUAGUUGGUGAGGUAAGAGCUCACCAAGCCGACGAUCGGUAGCUGGUCUGAGAGGAUGAUCAGCCACACUGGGACUGAGAUACGGCCCAGACUCCUACGGGAGGCAGCAGUGGGGAAUAUUGGACAAUGGGGCAACCCUGAUCCAGCAAUGCCGCGUGAGUGAUGAAGGCCUUAGGGUUGUAAAGCUCUUUUGCCAGGGAAGAUGAUGACUGUACCUGGAGAAUAAGCCCCGGCUAACUUCGUGCCAGCAGCCG
rnacentral:rRNA from 1 species